rnacentral:rRNA from 1 species
CAGCAGCCGCGGUAAUACGAAGGUCCCGAGCGUUGUUCGGAAUCACUGGGCGUAAAGGGAGCGUAGGCGGCGUGGUAAGUCAGAUGUGAAAUCCCGGGGCUCAACCCCGGAACUGCAUCCGAUACUGCCAUGCUAGAGGAUUGGAGAGGUAGCUGGAAUUCUUGGUGUAGCAGUGAAAUGCGUGGAGAUCAAGAGGAACACUCGUGGCGAAAGCGAGCUACUGGACAAUAACUGACGCUGAGGCUCGAAGGCCAGGGUAGCGAAAGGGAUUAGAUACCCCGGUAGUCCCUGUCUCUUAUAC